UACGUAGGGGGGCUAGCGUUGUCCGGAAUCAUUGGGCGUAAAGAGCGUGUAGGCGGCCAACUAAGUCCUGCGUGAAAUCUCGGGGCUCAACCCCCGAGCGGUCGUGGGAAACUGGUUGGCUAGAGUGCGGGAGAGGAGAGUGGAAUUCCUGGUGUAGCGGUGAAAUGCGCAGAUAUCAGGAAGAACACCCGUGGCGAAGGCGGCUCUCUGGAACGCAACUGACGCUGAGACGCGAAAGCGUGGGGAGCAAACAGG
rnacentral:rRNA from 1 species